rnacentral:rRNA from 1 species
GGAUCAAGCACUUCGUAGCGUUCUUCUUCGUUCGUUUGGUCGAUCGAUUUACCGCGGCUAAGUGUCGAGUGCGGCGGAGCUGCCGUGUGACGAACGCGAAGACGAGCACGAGCACCGGCGGUGACGGAAACAGUCGCGCCGGCGCCGCGCUCCCCUGCGCGACCGGCGGGCCGUGCUCGCCACCUACCGGUUCAUGCCCGCGCACAUGUGCCUGCGACGGCUCUUUAACGCGGCCGUCCUCCACAAGCGCCGGUCGCGCGCCGUGUAUCUACGACAGUUGGCCCGCCCGUUGGACUGCAUGUGAGAGCCCGAGUUGGUCAAGAGGCUGGAGUGGUUGCUUCUCAAGCACCUCUUCGUGGAGCCCAUGGCAGUGGUCGCGCCGCUCCUUUCGUGCGGCUACCGGCGCCACUUGUACAGGUACCGAGUCAAGCUCAGGUGCGGCCUGUCGCACCUGACCUCCCGGGUCCCGCGGCAGUGGGUUUAGUUCCUGGUCCGACGGACGUCAACAACGACCCGUAAGCGCCGCCACCGCCGCUGCCUUCCCGAGCAUGUCUAGCGGUGGUCGUUGGAGUAGAGGUACAGUCUCGUCGUCCACGAGCUGACGUGGCCGCUGGGGUCGUUGACGCUAUCACCGAUGCAGUUGCUGCGGAAUUCGAUGUAGCGGUUCUCGCCGCCGGACGUCGUCCUCCGUCGGAUGGGCAUAUAGCCGGUCGUCCCGCGCACGGCGCCGCCGCUGCAGUCGGGUUUAAGCCGGCGGCGGCAGCCGCGUGGGGCCACCCACUUGGACUUGCCGCUGCUCCCGCGCAACGUCCUCGAGCAGCGGUCGGUCGGCCACCGGCACCCGCACCUCCGGCUGGAACUGAAGGUGGUGAUGUGCUCGCCACACAUGUGGCCGUCGAGCAGCACGCCCGUCUUGGACUUGGUGCGGCACUGCCACCAGCCGAUGCCCUGCCUGCCGCCGCCCGUCCUCAUGACCAACCACUUCUUGGUCACCCCCUGCCCCACCCCGCUCCCCCCGAUGUACGCGGAGUGCGCGCCCUUGCCGCCGUUGACGCCGUACCGGUGGAUGCGGAUGAUGGGGUGGUACCUGUCGAGAAUUUGUGGCCAUGUCGCUAGGGUAGGCCGUAGCGAUCGAGCGUCGUGUCGCUAGCGUAGGCCGUAGCGAGCGAGCGUCGCGACGGGACAACGCCCCACCCGAAAAAAAACAACAAAACCCGGCUCAGACAACGAUCGAAAUGUAAAAAACAAAAACCCGGCGCGGACAAAACGCCCGAAAGAAAGAAAAACCCAGCGCGAACAACGCCCGACAAAAAAAAACCGGCGCAGAAAACGACCAGCAAUCAAAAGUAAAACUCCUGUAAAAAAAUAAAAACCUAUAAGAAAAAACGUAUGUUGUGUACUCUGUAAAAAAUUUUUAUCAAUGGAAAAAAUGAGUAAAAAACAAAAAGAUAAAAAAAGCACCUAUGUAUUUUACGGUCUAUCCCAACGAUGUUCGAACUUGUAGCAGUUUUUUCCCUACAGAUCCGAAGUAGAUCAGUUACCCAGGGGACAACGUACAGUUCGUAGCUGAGUGUUGAUCCCACACACACACACACACACAAACAUACACACAAAAUAAACACCGGGGGGUCAACGUUUAAGUGAUAGUUGAGCGUUAAUACCCUGUACACAUACACACAGCUCCCAGGGAUUAAUAACGUACAGCUAUUGGCUGAAUACUGAUUUCACAUACACACACACACAAAAUAAGCACCGGGGGUCAACGUUCGACUGGUGGUUGAGCGUUGAUCCCCUACACACAGGUCCCAGAGGUUAACGUACAGCUAUUUACUGAACGUUGAUCCCCACACACACACACGCGCGGAAAAAACAGUUCCCCAGGGCUCAACGUACAGGUCGUAGCUGAAU